UAGAGUUUUGCUAAAAAAAAAAAAAAUGAAAUUCCUACAAACCUGGUAGGUCUAAAUGUCAUAAUUAGGACAUACCAGGGCAUAUCAAGUUCUACUACCAAGUCAUAAUUCUGGUUAUUGUAACCAAGUUUCUUAACCCAUUACAUUCUGCUCAGUUGUAUCACUAUAUCUUUCAGUCUUUAAGUCAGUCACACAUAGUUGUUAUACUCUGAUGGUUUUGAAAAGGUCUUCAUCUCCAGCAAGAUUCAUAGCAGAGAGCAUUUUUACAAGCACUGAUGUCUGAUCAGUUUCACAUUAUACCAGGCAACUAACUGGAUAAGAUAUUUUAAAAUCCCAAUUUAAAAAAACUGCUGCUAUUAUAAAAGUGUUUAACAAAAGAUGAAAUACUGAGUCAACUUGUAAAUAUAGUUUUAAAGUUUAUGGGUUAUUAUUAUUAUUUUUUUUUUUUUUGGCUCUGAAAUAUCAUUGAUCCGUUAGCUUUCUAGAUAAAGCCCAGCCCUUCCCCUCAAGCUACUAAUGAUUGACAGCAAUUGAAUAAAUGCCCUCUAAUCUGAAACCUCUGCCAGAUGGAAGAAGUGAACGAUGCCGCCCACAAGCAGGAAGACCUGAGACCGGCUGGAACCACAAGGGUGAUCGUGCUGCUCCCCGAGACCUCAUCACGGACCCAACAGAAGAGCAUCCUCGAGUUGAUCAAGCUCUGCUCCUUGAACACUAUAAGACUCCUCAAAACCCUCCACCAGACACACGGCCUUUUAUUUAUUUUAAUAUUUUAUUUUAUUUAUCUAUUUAUUUGGCUGCCUUGGUUCUCAUUUGCAGAUGCGGGAUAGCCCCUACCUCUGAUGGGAUCUUGCUUGUAGCGCAAAGCCUCACCAGCUGUGGGGCGAAGGCUCAGCUGCUCCUGGGCUGUGAGAUCUUAGAUUCCCCACCAGGAAUCGAACCCACGUCCACUGCAUUUCAAGGUGGACUCUAAACCACUGGACCCCCAGGGAAGUCCCAGGACACAGUCUUGAGGGC
rnacentral:lncRNA from 1 species